rfam:Salpingoeca sp. ATCC 50818 unplaced genomic scaffold supercont1.8, whole genome shotgun sequence.
UGACCUCAGGUCAGGCAAGGGUACCCCCUGAACUUAAGCAUAUCACUAAGGGGAGGAAGAGAAACUAACAAGGAUUCCCUCAGUAACGGCGAGUGAAGCGGGAAGAGCUCAAGCAUUGGAAUCUCCACAAGCUUCUUUUUUGUGGCGAGUUGUAGUCUUUAUGGGAUGCGGGCCGUCGCAUGUCUUUGUGAUGGUGCACAGCUUUUGUUGUGCAUUGUUGUUUGGCGCAGCACCGAGUUUCCUUGGAAGAGGACACCGGAGAGGGUGAGAGUCCCGCUGGUGCUAGUUUAUUUGCGCUGAUGUGCGGUGUGUGGUCCGUUUAUUCUCUUGAGUCGGGUUGUUUGGGAAUGCAGCCCAAAGCCGGGUGGUAAACUGCAUCCAAGGCUAAAUACUGGCACGAGACCGAUAGCGAACAAGUACCGUGAGGGAAAGAUGAAAAGCACUUUGAAAAGAGAGUUAAACAGUACGUGAAACCGUUGACAGAGAAUCGCUUGCAGCUAGCAGAGACUGGGCGCGCCUUGUGAUCAGGGUUUUUGGUGUGGUGUGUGAUGACGGUGCGGGGGGUGUAUUGUGUGCACUUGUUGCACAUAUGCGCCGCUGCGUUGCUGUUGUUGUGUGCUGCGCUGCCUGCACUCGCGGGGCGUGUCUGCCAGCAUGAGUUUUGUGUGUGAGAGACGGCGAUGCGAGGGCGCCCUUGUGCGUGGCGCAUCUGCUUUUUUAUGUUUCUGUCGCACGUGGGACUGAGGAAAUUAUCGAUGCGGUGGCUUUGUUAUGUGGUCUUUGGCAUGGGUGCUGUUUUCGGCAUUGUGUUGCGCAGACUCUUGUUUUGGGAUGAGAGACUCGUUCUCUUGUGCUGUUGACAGAGUGUGUGCGGGCAGUGUUGGGAAUGUUGCGCUUGCCGCUUGGCGCACACCACCGGGGAGAUGCUGGCGACAGGGCUGCAAACGGCCCGUCUUGAAACACGGACCAAGGAGUCUAACAUGUGCGCGAGUGUUUUAGCGAGCAUGAAGCUAGGGCGCGCAAUGAAAGUGAGAGGUGGGAUGCAGUGUUGGGAAGUGUGCGUGAGUACACUUUUAACAGCAGCACUCGCAGCACCAUCGACCGAUCUGGAUUGGGGGAGGGGAAAGGGGUGUGCGGUGGCUCCACCCUCCUCCGCUGAAGGAUUUGCGUUUUAGCGCAGAUGUUAGGACCCGAUAGAUGGUGAACUAUGCCUGAGUAGGGCGAAGCCAGAGGAAACUCUGGUGGAGGCUCGUAGCGAUCAUGACGUGCAAAUCUGUCGUCGAACUUGGGUAUAGGGGCGAAAGACUCAUCGAACCAUCUAGUAGCUGGUUCCCACCGAAGUUUCCCUCAGGAUAGCUGAGACUUAUUUUAUGAUCUUUUGGUUAGUUUUAUCUGGUAAAGCGAAUGAUUAGAGGCCUUGGGGGAGCCACUUCCCUCAACCUAUUCUCAAACUUUAAAUGGGUAAGGCGGCGCGCUUUCUUUGUUUAUGAAGCGGGCAAUGCUGAAUAACCGAGUCUCAAGUGGGCCAUUUUUGGUAAGCAGAACUGGCGAUGCGGGAUGAACCGAACGCGGAGUUAGGGUGCCGGAAUCGACGCUCAUGAGAACCCACAAAAGGUGUUGGUUGAUAUAGACAGCAGGACGGUGGCCAUGGAAGUCGGAAUCCGCUAAGGAGUGUGUAACAACUCACCUGCCGAAUCAACUAGCCCUGAAAAUGGAUGGCGCUCAAGCGUCGUACCUAUACUCCGCUGUGUGUGGAAGAGAGCGAGCGAAGCGAGCAUUCGUGCUUGUUGCGUCUCAAAACUACAUGUAGCCACACACAAGUAGGUGGGCGUGGAGGUGUUUGCGUGAGAGCAAUCUUUUUGCCGUGGAAGCCUGUGGCGUGAGCCUGGGUGGAGGGGCCUCCAGUGCAGAUCUUGGUGACAGUAGCAACGAUUCAAAUGAGAGCUUUGAAGACUGAAGUGGAGCAAGGUUCCGUGGGAACAGCAGUUGGCCACGGGUGAGUCGGUCCUAAGAGAUGGGGCAGUCCUGUGUCAAGUGGGGAGUUGUUGCGUGUGUGUGGGUGGUGGUGAUAUUAUCGCCAUGCUUGCACACGUGUUGAAUACCCCAGUCCAUCGAAAGGGAACCAGGUUAAGAUUCCUGGACCAACGCACGCCACAAAGAAUGUUUUGAUAGAGCAGCGGCAACGCGUACAAACUCGGAGACGCUGCCGGGGGCCCUGGAAAGAGUUUUCUUUUCUUUUUAACGAGCUGCAUUGUGGGGGGGAGUAGGGGGAAGAGUGUUAGUUUAUUCUGCGCUCUUCAACCUUCCUCGUCGCAUUCUCUGACCCUGGAAUCAGUUUGGCUGGAGAUGGGGUGAGAGGCUCGGCAAAGCACCACUGACCUCUUUUUGUUGUGGUGUCCGGCGCGUUCCCGGCGGUCCAUGAAAAUCCGAGGGUGUGAAUGGUAGCAGUGUGGGGGGAAGAAGAGAAGCACUUGUGCUAAUCUAUUUUCUCCGCUGCAUGUGGGCGUGGUUGGCCGUACUGAUAACCGCAGCAGGUCUCCAAGGUGAAGAGCCUCUAGUUUGAUAGACGAAUGUAGGUAAGGGAAGUCGGCAAAAUAGAUCCGUAAGCUCGCGAUAAGGAUUGGCUCAAGAGGUUGAUUGUGUGUGUGGGUGUGGGGGUGAAAGGGGGUGUGCUUGCAUGCCGUUCUUGCACCUCUACAUUCUGCGCACACUAUUUUUUAGCAACCGAUCUUGAACUGGUACGGACAAGGGGAAUCCGACUGUUUACUUAAAACAAAGCAUUGCGAGGAUAGGCUGUUGCGACGGUGUAGACGCAAUGUGAUUUCUGCCCAGUGCUCAGAAUGUCAACGUGAAGAAAUUCAAGCCAAGCGCGGGAUCAACGGCGGAAGUAACUAUGACUUUCUUAAGGUAGCCAAAUGCCUCGUCAUUUAACUGGUGACGCGCAUGAAUGGAUUAACGAGAUUCCCACUGUCCCUAUCUACGCUCUAGCGAAACCGCAGCCAAGGGAACGGACUUGGCACAAUCAGCGGGGAAAGAAGACCCGCUAGAGCUUGACUCUAGUCCGACCGUGUUAGGGUUAGAGAGGUGUAGCAUAGGUGGGAGCAAAUGCAUUAAAUUGUGCUUGCGGCCUUGAAAUACCACUACUCUGGUCGUUUUUUUGCUUAUUGAAUGACACGGGGCUGGUGUGGGUGAUUGUGGUGUGCGUAGCGCGCAUUUCUUGUGUGAGCUGUGCGCACCCGAUCACACAUGUGCACCAUUUCUGGAGAAAGGGAGGGCAGCGUGGAGUGCUUCUUGCGCUUCAUGUUAUGCCGAUCCCGACCCGCUUUCAAGACGAGGUCAGGUGGGGAGUUUGGCUGGGGCGGCACAUCUGUAAAACGAUAACGCAGGUGUCCCAAGGUGAGCUCAAUGAGAACGGAAAUCUCAUGUGGAGUAAAAGGACAAAAGCUCACUUGAUUUUGUGAUUUUCAGGAUGAAUACAAACUGUGAAAGCAUGGCCUAUCGAUCCUUUAGUCGCGGCGGAUAAGAGUGAACAACGCACUCGUGCGUCUAAGCUCCCAUUCUGCACUGCGCCUGUUGACAGCUUCAACCUAGAGGUGUCCGAAAAGUUACCGGCGGCUCUGGCAACCAGGGGAUAUUCCUCGUUGCCUUGGUUAUAUCUAUACCAUCGUGUAAAUGAUCAUAUCCCUCACUUGUUUAUUCCAU